rnacentral:rRNA from 1 species
GACUACAGGGGUAUCUAAGCCUGUUCGCUCCCCACGCUUUCGCUCCUCAGCGUCAGUAAUGGCCCAGAGACCCGCCUUCGCCACCGGUGUUCCUCCUGAUAUCUGCGCAUUCCACCGCUACACCAGGAAUUCCAGUCUCCCCUACCACACUCAAGCCUGCCCGUACCCACCGCACUACCACAGUUAAGCUGCGGAAUUUCACGGCAGACGCGACAAGCCACCUACAAGCCCUUUACGCCCAAUAAAUCCGGACAACGCUCGCUCCCUACGUAUUACCGCGGCUGCUGGCACGUAGUUAGCCGGAGCUUCUUUACCUCAUACCCUCAACAACACCAAAAUGCUGCCUUGGUCAAAAGCGAAAAAGGUUUACAACCCGAAGGCCUUCAUCCCUCACGCGGCGUCGCUGCAUCAGACUUUCGUCCAUUGUGCAAUAUUCCCCACUGCAGCCUCCCGUAGG